rnacentral:rRNA from 1 species
GUCGAACGAACUCUGGUAUUGAUUGGUGCUUGCAUCAUGAUUUACAUUUGAGUGAGUGGCGAACUGGUGAGUAACACGUGGGAAACCUGCCCAGAAGCGGGGGAUAACACCUGGAAACAGAUGCUAAUACCGCAUAACAACUUGGACCGCAUGGUCCGAGCUUGAAAGAUGGCUUCGGCUAUCACUUUUGGAUGGUCCCGCGGCGUAUUAGCUAGAUGGUGGGGUAAUGGCUCACCAUGGCAAUGAUACGUAGCCGACCUGAGAGGGUAAUCGGCCACAUUGGGACUGAGACACGGCCCAAACUCCUACGGGAGGCAGCAGUAGGGAAUCUUCCACAAUGGACGAAAGUCUGAUGGAGCAACGCCGCGUGAGUGAAGAAGGGUUUCGGCUCGUAAAACUCUGUUGUUAAAGAAGAACAUAUCUGAGAGUAACUGUUCAGGUAUUGACGGUAUUUAACCAGAAAGCCACGGCUAACUACGUGCCAGCAGCCGCGGUAAUACGUAGGUGGCAAGCGUUGUCCGGAUUUAUUGGGCGUAAAGCGAGCGCAGGCGGUUUUUUAAGUCUGAUGUGAAAGCCUUCGGCUCAACCGAAGAAGUGCAUCGGAAACUGGGAAACUUGAGUGCAGAAGAGGACAGUGGAACUCCAUGUGUAGCGGUGAAAUGCGUAGAUAUAUGGAAGAACACCAGUGGCGAAGGCGGCUGUCUGGUCUGUAACUGACGCUGAGGCUCGAAAGUAUGGGUAGCAAACAGGAUUAGAUACCCUGGUAGUCCAUACCGUAAACGAUGAAUGCUAAGUGUUGGAGGGUUUCCGCCCUUCAGUGCUGCAGCUAACGCAUUAAGCAUUCCGCCUGGGGAGUACGGCCGCAAGGCUGAAACUCAAAGGAAUUGACGGGGGCCCGCACAAGCGGUGGAGCAUGUGGUUUAAUUCGAAGCUACGCGAAGAACCUUACCAGGUCUUGACAUACUAUGCAAAUCUAAGAGAUUAGACGUUCCCUUCGGGGACAUGGAUACAGGUGGUGCAUGGUUGUCGUCAGCUCGUGUCGUGAGAUGUUGGGUUAAGUCCCGCAACGAGCGCAACCCUUAUUAUCAGUUGCCAGCAUUAAGUUGGGCACUCUGGUGAGACUGCCGGUGACAAACCGGAGGAAGGUGGGGAUGACGUCAAAUCAUCAUGCCCCUUAUGACCUGGGCUACACACGUGCUACAAUGGAUGGUACAACGAGUUGCGAACUCGCGAGAGUAAGCUAAUCUCUUAAAGCCAUUCUCAGUUCGGAUUGUAGGCUGCAACUCGCCUACAUGAAGUCGGAAUCGCUAGUAAUCGCGGAUCAGCAUGCCGCGGUGAAUACGUUCCCGGGCCUUGUACACACCGCCCGUCACACCAUGAGAGUUUGUAACACCCAAAGUCGGUGGGGUAACCUUUUAGGAACCAGCCGCCUAA